rnacentral:rRNA from 1 species
UAACACAUGCAAGUCGAACGGUAACAGGAAGAAGCUUGCUUCUUUGUUGACGAGUGGCGGACGGGUGAGUAAUGUCUGGGAAACUGCCUGAUGGAGGGGGAUAACUACUGGAAACGGUAGCUAAUACCGCAUAACGUCGCAAGACCAAAGAGGGGGACCUUCGGGCCUCUUGCCAUCGGAUGUGCCCAGAUGGGAUUAGCUAGUAGGUGGGGCAACGGCUCACCUAGGCGACGAUCCCUAGCUGGUCUGAGAGGAUGACCAGCCACACUGGAACUGAGACACGGUCCAGACUCCUACGGGAGGCAGCAGUGGGGAAUAUUGCACAAUGGGCGCAAGGCCUGAUGCAGCCAUGCCGCGUGUAUGAAGAAGGCCUUCGGGUUGUAAAGUACUUUCAGCGGGGAGGAAGGGAGUAAAGUUAAUACCUUUGCUCAUUGACGUUACCCGCAGAAGAAGCACCGGCUAACUCCGUGCCAGCAGCCGCGGUAAUACGGAGGGUGCAAGCGUUAAUCGGAAUUACUGGGCGUAAAGCGCACGCAGGCGGUUUGUUAAGUCAGAUGUGAAAUCCCCGGGCUCAACCUGGGAACUGCAUCUGAUACUGGCAAGCUUGAGUCUCGUAGAGGGGGGUAGAAUUCCAGGUGUAGCGGUGAAAUGCGUAGAGAU